rnacentral:sRNA from 1 species
GCCAGGUACAGAGGCACAUGUUUGUAGUCCCAGCUACUCAGGAGGCUGAGGCAGGAGGAUCGGUUAAGCCCAGGAGUUCAAGGCCACCCUGGGCAACAUAGCAAGAUCCCAUCUCAU